rnacentral:lncRNA from 1 species
AGAUCAAACAUAAGGUCAAACAUAAGACCAAAGAAACAAUUAAGGAAUAAGAUGGUUUGCAGUGCACCUCCUUUGACCGACUCACAACUGCACCCGUGUAGAAUAUCAUUCAUGAAUUUUAAAAGUGCCUUUUUAGCAAGUGAGGUAAAAGCAACUUGUGAUGGGACUAAUCAAUUAAUGCAAAAAAUAGGGCUCGUACGUAACCCAAGUCCAACUUCGGCUCUGUGCGCGCGAUGUUACGUAAUCGUUUUUUGGGGUUUAUUUCCAGCUGUUCAUAGAUUACUUUUUUGGGUGAUUGGUCCACUUUAAGGUUAAAAGCCCAAAUCCGUCUUGGGCUCUAUGCGCGCGAUGUUACGUAAUUGUUUUUUGAGGUUUAUUUACAGCUGUUCAUAGAUUACUUUUUUUGGGUAAUUGGUCCACUUUAAGGUUAAAAGCCCAAGUCCAACUUGGGCUCUGUGCGCGAUGUUACGUAAUUGUUUUUUUAGGUUUAUUUCCAGCUGUUCAUAGAUUACUUUUUUGGGUGAUUGCACUUUAAGGUUAUAAGCCCAAGUCCGACUUGGGCUCGGAGCGCGAUGUUACGUAAUUGUUUUUUGAGGUUUAUUUCCAGCUGUUCAUAGAUUACUGUUUUGGGUGAUUGGUACAUUUCAAGGUUAUUAUAAGCCUUAAUUUUUUGGGUUUAUUUUCAGCUGUUCAUAGAUUAAUUUGUUGGAUGAUUGGUACACUUUAAGGUUAUAAGCCCAAGUCCGACUUAAUUGGGCUCGAUGCGCGCGAUGUUACGUAAUUGUUUUUUGAGGUUUAUUUCCAGCUGUUCAUAGAUACUUUUUGGGGUGAUUGGUACACUUUAAGGUUAUAAGCCCAAGUCCGACUUAAUUGGGCUCGAUGCGCGCGAUGUUACGUAAUUGUUUUUUGAGGUUUAUUUCCAGCUGUUCAUAGAUACUUUUUUGGGUGAUUGGUACACUUUAAUGUUAUAAGCCCAAGUCCGCCUUGGGCUCUGUGCGCGAUGUUACGUAAUUGUUUUUUGAGGUUUAUUUCCAGCUGUUCUUAGAUUACUGUUUUCGGUGAUUGGCACAUUUCAAGGUUAUUAAAAGCCUUAAUUUUUUAGGUUUAUUUCCAGCUGUUCAUAGAUUACUUUUUGGGUGAUUGCCUUGGGCUCUGUGCACGAUGUUUUUGAGGUUUAUUUCCAGCUGUUCUUAGAUUACUUUUUGGGUUGAUUGGUACACUUUAAGGUUAUAAGCCCAAGUCCGACUUGGGCUCUGUGUGCGCGAUGUUACGUAAUUGUUUUUGAGGUUUAUAUUUCCAGCUGUUUAUAGAUUAUUUUUUGGGGUAAUUGGUACAAUUAAUAUAAGCCUUAAUUGGCGUAGCUACAGGGGAAAAAGGUAAGCUUCCCUCCUAAUGGGAUGGUGUUUUAAAGUUUUAAUUUUAGGAAAUGUAUGCUACUUUGUUUCACUAUUAUACCCUGCUUAGCUUUGAUCAUAUGUAAAAAAAAAAAAAAAAAGGGAUAGCAUAUAUUAUUAUUGUAUUACAAGUAUUCAUAUUGAUUGUUAUUGGGUCUGCUAUUUUUGUCUACAAAUACAUAUUUUUGAAUUACUCCAGAA